CCCACCUUAAUCAGUAAGAGAUACUAUAUAGUUCUCAGCAUACUUUGCCAAGGACUUUACUAACAUGAUUGAUACAUUUGGCAUUAAUCUUCCCUUUUUCUGUUCUGUGAUUUAGGUUAUGAUGGGGCAGUGCCUGAGAGAACUGUAGCACCAGUGAGCCAGAUCCUACUUUCCACUGUAAAAUUCCUUUUCCUAUUGGGGGUUUCAUGCUUAGCCUCUUACUGUUAGUGUGAGGGCAAAAUGUGUCUGACCCAAAGAUUUUCUAAUAGGAUGUCCUGGGAAGGCCAGUCAGCCAAAAACAUCAUUGGAUGUUCAUUUUGUUCCCUAGUUUAAAAAGAGAAAAGCAAAUCACACCUUAUAUGUGAUGCCAUAAAUUGUGCUUUCUUUGGUCAAUUAUGAAGAGUGUGCAUUGGAUUUUAACAUGUUGAUCUUUGACUCUGGGGGUUGAGGUAUUUUACAAUCAUCAAAUCACCUGGUUUGCUUCCAGUAUAAUCAUUUAAUUAAGGUAUUAAAAACUUAAUGAAGGCUACAUGGAAAGUAUUAAUAUUAAUAUAUAACAUUUAUUGAAUGUUAGCACAGCCCAAGGAAUUGAACAAAGCACAAAAUUACAGUGCCUGCCAGUUAGCUUAGCACACAUCAGCCAAAAUUUUUAAGCUGUUAAUAAAAAAAAAAAAAACUAGAAUGUGCCUUUAUAAACACUGAAGAAUAAAACCUAACUAAAAAAAUUUGGUUGAUCUCUUUCACCAAAACUCAUUAUCGUUGAUCUAUUUCAGUCACACCUUUUUGGAAAUACUACUUUCACUGUCUUCACAAGUGUAUCAACAUGCACUGGAAUAACUCAAUAUUCCUGUCAAAUUAGCAAUGCCCUGGGAGCUGGAUUAUGCUCCAAGACACUGAAUCUGAAAAGAUGCAUCCAGUUUUGCCAAGGGAUUUCACCACCAAGGCCAGCCCUCACCUAUGACAGACCCAAGAAAGAUCAUUUGUAACUAGAAUCUAGCCAUUUAUGAACCUGUGUGCUCCCUGGGUGGGCCAUCUGCACUGGUCUGAGGUUUAUCUCAUUCACAUGAAGUCCAAAGGAAUCUUCUUGAAUAUC
rnacentral:lncRNA from 1 species